rnacentral:tRNA from 1 species
ACAUAAAAGUGUAAAGAGCAUGAAAAGUUUUGAUCUUUUAGGGAUUGGUGCGGUUCCAAUGUAUGUAUA